AUUGAACGCUGGCGGCAGGCCUAACACAUGCAAGUCGAGCGGAUGAAGGGAGCUUGCUCCUGGAUUCAGCGGCGGACGGGUGAGUAAUGCCUAUGAAUCUGCCUGGUAGUGGGUUAUAACGUCCUGAAACGGGCGCUAAUACCGCAUACGUCCUGAUGGAGAAAGUGGGUGAUCUUCGGACCUCACGCUCUCAGAUGAGCCUAGGUCGGAUUAGCUAGUUGGUGGGGUAAAGGCCUACCAAGGCGACGAUCCGUAACUGGUCUGAGAGGAUGAUCAGUCACACUGGAACUGAGACACGGUCCAGACUCCUACGGGAGGCAGCAGUGGGGAAUAUUGGACAAUGGGCGAAAGCCUGAUCCAGCCAUGCCGCGUGUGUGAAGAAGGUCUUCGGAUUGUAAAGCACUUUAAGUUGGGAGGAAGGGCAGUAAGUUAAUACCUUGCUGUUUUGACGUUACCAACAGAAUAAGCACCGGCUAACUUCGUG
rnacentral:rRNA from 1 species